AAAGCUUGCUUUUCAAAUCUUAGCGGCGGACGGGUGAGUAACACGUGGGCAACCUGCCCUUGAGACGGGGAUAACUCCGGGAAACCGGAGCUAAUACCGGAUAACACAUAUCUUCGCAUGAGGAUAUGUUAGAAGGUGGCUUUUAGCUACCACUCAAGGAUGGGCCCGCGGCGCAUUAGCAAAUGGUGAGGUAACGGCUCACAUCGGCGACGAUGCGUAGCCGACCUGAGAGGGUGAUCGGCCACACUGGGACUGAGACACGGCCCAGACUCCUACGGGAGGCAGCAGUAGGGAAUCUUCCGCAAUGGACGAAAGUCUGACGGAGCAACGCCGCGUGAGUGAUGAAGGUUUUCGGAUCGUAAAGCUCUGUUAGGGGUAGGGAAGAACAAGUACCUGUUAUAUAAUCAGGUACCUUGACGGUACCUAACCAGAAAGCCACGGCUAACUACGUGCCAGCAGCCGCGGUAAUACGUAGGUGGCAAGCGUUGUCCGGAAUUAUUGGGCGUAAAGCGCUCUAUCAGGCGGUUCCUUAAGUCUGAUGUGAAAGCCCACGGCUCAACCGUGGAGGGUCAUUGGAAACUGGGGAACUUGAGUGCAGAAGAGGAGAGCGGAAUUCCACGUGUAGCGGUGAAAUGCGUAGAGAUGAACACCAGUGGCGAAGGCGGCUCUCUGGUCUGUAACUGACGCUGAGCGCGAAAGCGUGGGGAGCGAACAGGAAUUAGUAUACCCUGGUAGUUCCACCGCCC
rnacentral:rRNA from 1 species